rnacentral:rRNA from 1 species
AGUGUAGGCGGCUUCGUAAGUCGGAUGUGAAAGCCCCGGGCUUAACCUGGAAUGGCAUUCGAUACUGCGCGGCUAGAGUCUGAUAGAGGGAAGUGGAAUUCCAGGUGUAGCGGUGAAAUGCGUAGAGAUCUGGAGGAACACCAGUGGCGAAGGCGGCUUCCUGGAUCAAGACUGACGCUGAGGCUCGAAAGCGUGGGGAGCAAACA